GCGCCCGUAGCUCAGUGGUGGAGCAGGACACUCAUAAUGUUCGGGUCGUUGGUUCGAGUCCAGCCGUGGCGCA
rnacentral:tRNA from 1 species